UUUCUCAAAAUUAAAUCCCUAAAUUGAAGAGCAGAGAUGCAGCGGCUUCUUCUUCUUCCUCACGACUAUCCGCCGUUAAAUUGGCUCGCCGGCGGUUGCUGGAUUCGUCUCCUUCAUCUCGACUCUCGGUCACCGCACUGAUCUCUUGUCCUUGGCGGUGGAGUCACAGCGGAGCGGAUUCGCUAUUGAGCUGAGGCGUCGCCUCGGAGUUCAUCGACUCGCCACCAGCAUCGGCGAUUUCUCGCCCCUGCCAGGUCGGCUUCACCGUCGUCUCAUCCCUCAGACAAACGCCGUCCGUCGCUCACGCCUCCGUCGCCUCCCACUCGCGACGUCAGGCACGUCAUCGCGGCUGCCGAAGUCCGCCACGCACGCCGCUCUCUUCCCUUUCGGCGUCCAGCGACGCCGACCUCGUCCCGGCUGCUCAACGAGCAGAGCCGCCGCUCCUCUCAGUUCUCCGGAGUUUCCGUCGCCGCUCGGCCAUCGCCGGGCAGCUCCGCCGAGUACUCCUCACUCCAAAGCUAAGUCCCCAAUCCCUUAGCCCCUUUUUAGUUUAGAAUUACUAAAGCUUUGAUCUUGGGCAGACUGUUAUUGUUGAUUCAUCACUUGAUAUGGGGAGUCUAUUUGCAUUUGAGAGGGAUUUGAGAAAGAAUGUAGCUACUGGAAUAACUCUUAUUGUUAUGAGUUCUGUUUCUAAGUUUCAUUUAGAGCUGCUAUGAUUCUAAGUUCUUGGUCACCUACUGUGCUAGCUCUAUAUGAUGCAAGGUUAUUGGGUGUUUGAGGUUGUUACCUCACUUUGAUGAUUCCUCUUGGAAGGGACUGAUGUCCUGCCUCAAACUCUCCUCCUUGCUCCUCCUCCCUUCCUUGCUAUUCUCUUGAAUAUUUGGUGAAAUUAUAGUGUUGAGAAAGAGGGGAUGAGAAGGAGAUUGGGGUUGUUUAUAUAGGCUUCCAUCUUUGGCUGUUUGUGCUUGAGACUUGGAGGUAUAUAGUUGUCAAAAGUUGGAUUCUUGUGGUGCAAGGACCGAGAGGGAUGGAGAGAAUCUACUAAACUUCUUACUUUGGUUUAUUGCUAGAGUUAGCUAAUGGUCAAGCAUUAGACCUUGAGCCCCUCUCUUUUAGGCUUACUGUACUCCCUAAAUUCAUGUAAGGGAAAUGGGUCCCAUAACUUGUAGCAUUGUAUGCAUGUGUAAGACUUGUACUUUCCAUAAUCCUUGUAUUUCUAUUUCUUCACGGUGUAUCCACAUUUCUCUAAUAAAAGUAUUUUCUCCA